rnacentral:lncRNA from 1 species
AAAUAUAAUUAUACCAUUAACAACAAUCCCAUUACACCUAUAUACCUCCCCUUUCUUCUUGCCCUCUUCCUUUUCUAAUCCUCUGUGAUUAAACAAAACCGCCUCGAAUUACUUGUUCCUUCGUCAAUUUUUUCCCCCGUUUCUUGCUCAUAUUCAAUCGGUAAAAAGACAAAGAAAGAAAAUAACUCGGCUUUGUAAAAACUCUAGACUUA